CCGCCCCGCCGGGACAUUUCCGGCGGGGCGGUUGCGACGGACCCCAGCUCACAAAGCAGGGGCUCGAUUUUGAAAUCGUAUAUAUGACCAGCAGGGGCAUCCGGGCUGGUACCCGGACUAUCUGCGGGAACCUUGGUGGCUACCAGUCGCUACACGGGGCUGGAAAUCCGCAUGGCUUCCGUCAGGUGGAGUCCCCUUACCGAGGGUGACCA
rfam:Pseudomonas knackmussii B13 complete genome